ACACCGGGUAAAAACUAGCUCG
rnacentral:miRNA from 1 species